rnacentral:rRNA from 1 species
UACGGAGGGUGCGAGCGUUGUCCGGAAUCACUGGGCGUAAAGGGCGCGUAGGUGGCGUCGCAAGUCAACGGUGAAAGCUCGACGCUCAACGUCGAGUCGGCCGUCGAGACUGCGAGGCUUGAGCACUGUAGAGGCAGAUGGAAUUCCGGGUGUAGCGGUGGAAUGCGUAGAGAUCCGGAAGAACACCGGUGGCGAAGGCGGUCUGCUGGGCAGUUGCUGACACUGAGGCGCGACAGCGUGGGGGAGCAAACAGGG